CCUUUUCCACUACAACCAACCACUGAAAUGAUCAUCCAUGGGUUUCUCCUAGGACAGAAUUGACAGUUUAUGUGAUCACAGGGGAAAACAUUUACACCAGAACAAGUGCUCAGUAAUGAUAUUAAAUGGCACAUGAAGACUCCAAAGAAAACAGAAUGGGACAUGGUCUUUGGUGAGGUAGGGACAUGUGGAGAGCAAUACUGUAAUGAAGAAGGGAUACCCUGCUUGGCAUGUUUUCAAGCCUGAUGAAAGAAACACCCACAAAUCAUCAGACUGCAUGCUGUAAGUAAGAAGUGGAAUAAUUACUAAAGACACCAGAGCAAAUGGAAAAGCAAACAAAAUGUAUUAUGGCAUGAGAUUUCAACUGUAAGCAUCCUAGUUAAUAACACACAUUAUACCCAUUCCUCAUCUGAAAAAUGUUUUUGUGUGUGUACUAGGGUUUACUUUAUGUUUAAAUAAAUGUAUCACUUUGCACUGUUUUCUUGAGCUUUUUCUAGAUUCUGUUUUUAUAUGUAACUGAACACACGCAGAGUGGUAAGGAAACCGUUUUAGCUAGUGGGUUUAUAGCCACACUAGAGGUCCAGUUCCAAUGAGAAGCUUCAGCCAUUUUGCAAUCAGGAGACUUUCAAAGAUAAGAAACUCCUAAAAAAGUUUGGGGAAACUGGAUAGCCAGGAGAAGAAGCAACUCUACUCAUGUGGUUUGGAAGGUGAUCAGGUGAGAAUCUACACCAAAUUUGUCCAUUGCUUUCAUAGGAACAGAAGGUUCCAGGUCUGUGUUUUCCUAUGACUUCGUCUUAGAAUCAUAGAAUAGUUUGGUUUGAAAGGGACCUUCAAAGUGAUCUGGUCCAACCCUCCUGCAACAAACAGGAACAACUCCAUCUAGAUCAGGUUGCCCAGAACCACAUCCAGCCUGGCCUU